rnacentral:rRNA from 1 species
AACGAACGCUGGCGGCAUGCCUAACACAUGCAAGUCGAACGAGACCUUCGGGUCUAGUGGCGCACGGGUGCGUAACGCGUGGGAACCUGCCCUUAGGUUCGGAAUAACUCCCCGAAUGGGGUGCUAAUACCGGAUCAUGUCUUCGGACCAAAGAUUGAUCGCCUUUGGAUGGGCCCGCGUUGGAUUAGCUAGUUGGUAGGGUAAAAGCCUACCAAGGCGACGAUCCAUAGCUGGUCUGAGAGGAUGCUCAGCGACACUGGGACGAGGAGACGGCCCGGACUCCUACGGGAGGGAGGAGUGGGUGAUAUUGGAAAGUGGGCGAAGGCCUGAUCGAGCAAGGCCGGGUGAGUGAUGAAGGCCGGAGGGUUGUAAAGCUCUUUUACCCGGGAUGAUAAUGACAGUACCGGGAGAAUAAGCUCCGGCUAACUCCGUG